UACACAUGCAAGUCGAGCGGAAACGAGUUAUCUGAACCUUCGGGGAACGAUAACGGCGUCGAGCGGCGGACGGGUGAGUAAUGCCUAGGAAAUUGCCCUGAUGUGGGGGAUAACCAUUGGAAACGAUGGCUAAUACCGCAUAAUGCCUACGGGCCAAAGAGGGGGACCUUCGGGCCUCUCGCGUCAGGAUAUGCCUAGGGGGGAUUAGCUAGUUGGGGAGGUAAUGGCUCACCAAGGCGACGAUCCCUAGCUGGUCUGAAAGGAUGAUCAGCCCCCCUGGAACUGAAACCCGGUCCAGACUCCUACGGGAGGCAGCAGGGGGGAAUAUUGCACAAUGGGCGCAAGCCUGAUGCAGCCAUGCCGCGGGGGGGAAGAAGGCCUUCGGGUUGUAAAGCACUUUCAGUCGUGAGGAAGGGAGGGGAGUUAAUAGCUGCAUUAUUUGACGUUAGCGACAGAAGAAGCACCGGCUAACUCCGUGCCAGCAGCCGCGGUAAUACGGAGGGNGCGAGCGUUAAUCGGAAUUACUGGGCGUAAAGCGCAUGCAGGUGGUUUGUUAAGUCAGAUGUGAAAGCCCGGGGCUCAACCUCGGAAUUGCAUUUGAAACUGGCAGACUAGAGUACUGGAGAGGGGGGUAGAAUUUCAGGUGUAGCGGUGAAAUGCGUAGAGAUCUGAAGGAAUACCGGUGGCGAAGGCGGCCCCCUGGACAGAUACUGACACUCAGAUGCGAAAGCGUGGGGAGCAAACAGGAUUAGAUACCCUGGUAGUCCACGCCGUAAACGAUGUCUACUUGGAGGUUGUGGCCUUGANCCGUGGCUUUCGGAGCUAACGCGNUAAGUANACCGCCUGGGGAGUACGGUCGCAGAU
rnacentral:rRNA from 1 species